UCUUCUGUAGCACCGCUGAAGUUUGCUGGGAGUCAACUCCAGACCUUAUUUGCCUGAGUCCCUUCUUAACAUGGAGGUAUCACCAGUGGAGGCUAGAGAACAGCAAAGAUGGCAGCCUUCUUCUUCUUCUGGGAGCUCUGUCCCAGAGGCACACUGACCUAUUGCCAGCCAGAACACCCCUGUAUGAGGUACCCAAACUAAGAAGCCGAUGAAACUAGUUUUUCAGCCCUUAGCACAUCACCCAUAAAUGGAGACAAGGUGAUCAAGAGAUGCUGAGGAGGGCUGAUAGUGGAGAGAAUUGUUGGAAAGCAUGAAUUUCCCCAACCACAGAAGAAAGCCAAUGAAUCUCAACUGAGCAAACUGAUGAGCUUUUUGUCACUCUAAAUAUCUGUUGAGGGCUCUCGAUCUGCUAGAUCAAUCACAGUCUCAGCCCUCGGUAUCAAACUCCUUACCACACAUAGGAAAACUCGAGUCAGAGGGCAAGAGAGUCACCCAAGCUCC
rnacentral:lncRNA from 1 species